UCGUAUCAUUACUUGGCUUUGUAAAAUUCCUGAGAAUAUGUGUAAAUUCUGAUAUAUACAUUCGCAGAUAUACGUAGAGAACUCAAGUAUAAAUCGAUCAGCAGGGCUCUUGCGACAGGAAUCUAAUUAUAUUCUGGAAUCUAGCCAAAUUGAUGAAAGACUGUUGACUCGGCUGUAUUUGGUAGUAGUAACGCUAACGCUUUACAGUGAUCUCAUUACAGAGAUAGCAACAAGUUUAUCAGUUCUUUCCGAUAGAAAUGCGCGCGACUAGCUUUCUCUUUUGCUAUGCAGCAAUGUGUUGCAGAUAUUUCUCAAAACAUAUUUGAAAACAAUUACACACACAUACUUAUUAUGUGUAAAAUAUAUAUUUUUUUUUUUUAAAUAUAAGCUUGGACAUGUCCCUUAACAUGUUACAUCUAUAAAAAUUGUUUUAUAACGAUAUUAAACUCACUUUGAAUGAAGCCCUCCACCAGGAGGCAAAUGAGGAAAGUCUUGGUCGCCUCCUCUAAGAAGUUCAAGCAUUUUCAGAUAAUCGAAUUCAUUCUUAUCCUCCUCUGCAGCGACUAUAUCUACAAAGACACAAUACAGAUUUUGUGCAACAAUUUUAAAUGCUGUUUUGCAAGUAUAUGCUUAACGAAAUGUGCUUAACGUAUGAACAGGUCUUUACAUGCAAUUUAUUAAGAUGCGGGAAUAAUAUAACCAAUUGUAAAAUAAUCAACAAGGAUCGAGAUAUGUAAUAUGGCUGUAUCGUGUACAUGCAUCUACUUGGAACUGGGAGAAUAAAUCAUACAUAUUACAUUUCUUAUGGAAACAAAUAUUCCGUAAGUAGAUACAUUUCAGUGAAACUUUUUAGCAAAAUCAAUGUAUAAUGCAAAUGUCCACCUCUGGAAUUGUGUGCCUACAUAUAUUGCAAGACAAAUGGAGAGGGAGAAAAGAAAAAAGGUCCGUUGCAAUAUUCAUCCAUAAGAAAUGCAUUGUUGAGAAAGUAAUAUCAAAAGUGUAAUCUUUGUAAAAAAAUUUGCACCUACCUGUGACACAGUUUACACGUAUACUUAAAAAAA